GCUGUGGUGCAUUUAAAUAAUUUAUGAAUAUAAAAAUGCACAUAUAUUGAGAGAAACACGCUGACAACUAUUUUUCCAAUACAAUGCUGUUAUCAAGACUUUGGUGCUUCAAAGCCUCAAAGCCUCAUUUUUUAAAAGCCUCCACUUCUUUGAAGGUUUCUCUCUUUCGUCCUCUUUUGAAAGUGUUUCCUUCCUUUUCUGAACUUUCGUGUUAUUUUACUGAAACUUGCUACCCACUCUGUUGUGGCAUAGCCAUUUUUAUCCAGCCAUUAUCUUUGCUAGGUUACAAAUGACCUAAGAGUGGGUCUUGUUUAGCUGCAGGAGAAUGGUGAGUAUACAACUAGUUGCACUCAGAAAUAAUACUAAAUCAUCUCGGGGUUUGCAAAUAUGUAUGCGGUCAUAUUAAACAUAAUUCUUUAUUCUACUUGCAGAACAGCUUCUAUUAGGUAAACAGGGUUUAAAAAUUAAAUCACCUGAACUUCUUGGCAAAAAUUCUCCAUAGGUUACUCCAUGUCAACUCUAAAGACUAAUGUUUUAAAUUGUUGCUAUGUAAUGAUCCUAGCCUUGCUGACAAUCUUCUUACCAGGUACAAACGGGAAACAGAAACAGAAGCUGAAAUAUGACCUAUGUGCAUAAUCACUCAAUUAAAUAGAAUAAAACUAUUGGCUUCAAUAUUGAGUAACAAUGUAUUGACUUGUUGGCUUAAUUUGUGUAAAGAUUGAAUUUGUAUAAAUAGCCAAAGCCAUGCACUUGUUUGUAGACGUUGCUAAGGGCAAAUGGGAAGCUGGUCUAAAUAUGAACAUCUUCAAGACUUUGUUAAUAUGCACAGUGUUUUCACACAUGAAAACAGAAAUUCAGAUUUUAAUUAACCCCGUGAAUUUGCCUGAAAAUAUGCUUCCUGGAACACAGCUAAGUCGUGCUUAUGAUAAAGAUGUGGCUGGAAAGGGAGAUGUCUACCGUUUUCUGAAUAAAACAAAAGAUUUUGUCAUCGAUGCAAGUUCUGGUGCCAUCACUGCUACCAAAAUUUUUAAUUAUGAAACAGAUCCAAUAAGGUUUCUUCUGAUAGUUGAUACUAGGCUCUCUAGACAUGUUUUGACCAUUAUUAUUAUUGAUGUUCCUGAAUCUCCAAACUACUGCUGAUCCCAAAUUUUCUUCAGGCACAGGUAUGAUGCAUUAUCUUCCUAUAGUUUACUUCUAAGAGCUAUGUAUAAUGACAGAGGCCAGGCAUACUCCUUCAGUUAGAGAUGAUUCAGUGAUUCUUUAAAUUAUGCAUAUAAUGUGUGUUUAUAUAAAUAUACAAAACUAUGUGCAGACCUUCAUGUUUGUAAGAAAACAUAACCUCUCUAAGGAAUAAUUUGAAAAACAUGUUUACCCUAUAAAAAUUUUCAUGCCACAAUUAUGAGGUAGGAGAGCACAUACAUUAAAAACAGCAAUAGAGAUUCUACAAGACUUGCCGUAAGAGAAGCAAGACAAGAAGGAAAAAAAUGAAUAAAAGGUUUUCAUAACUUCAUACACAAAGUUAAACCUUCACUUGUGAAAAUGCUACAAAGAAUAAUUUAGUUUUAGUACCCUUAAGGUUCAAAUUGUGUUUUAGUUUUCCAAAGAAGUAAGGGAGAUAGCCAUCAAUCAAAAAUGCACAGAAAUAAAUGUGAAUUUUCAUUAUAAUAUGAUCAUAGAAAUACGAGACACUUGUAUUACAUAAUCAAAUAUUGUGUAUGAAUGUGGGGCAGUUGACCAAGUCAGAGAUAUAAGAAAAAUUUUCUCUAAAGUAUUGACAGUUUACUUUAGCUCUAAACUCUGAUAAUAGUAAAUAAGUAAGAGGAGGGAAAAUAGCAUUUCAUGCAGAAGGAACUGUAGGUAUAAAUGACCUGAGGCAGCAUAGAACAUGUUGACUAAGAAUAAUUGGAAGUCUAGUAUAAUUGAAAUCAAGCACUAAGUAAUAUGGUACAAAAUGAUAAUUGAAAAGUAAAGAAGAGUAUUUUAAGAAUGCCAGUCUUAGUUCUAAGGGUACUGGGAAUCCUAUAAAGUAUUUUAAGCUGAUAGAUAUUUCAAAUAUAUCCAUCUUGUUGAGUAUAGAGAAAUAUUAGAAGGGGACAAAGUUAGUCUAGGUAUCAGCAAGCAUUGUAAAAGGCCAGAAAAUAAAUAUUUUAGGCCUUGCAAGUUAAAAGAUAAAUUGAGUCUAUUAUUUAGGUAGUACUUAUAAGCAAGGAAAUAAAUAUCUACAAUUUUUAUUGAUAGAAGUUUUAAAAGAUAAUAACAGUACUAAUUGGGUAUAAUUUUGUACUACAGCUCUGCUAAUGAGAGGAGUGAAUUUUCACUUGGGAGGGAAUAGAAUUUCUCUUUAUGGGAUGGGGCAUUAAAUACCAUCAGCAAAUCUCUUUCCUUACUUAGCUAACUGAUGAACUGCUUAGAAUCUUUUUUUACUGAGUUUCAUUGUUAAUUAUUUUUGUUUAUAAAAUCUGUCUUCGUGAAAUAUUUUGUUUUACAUUUUCUACUUUUUCUCAUCAUUG
ensembl:lncRNA